rnacentral:snRNA from 1 species
ACCGAGCGGCGGGUAGAAU